rnacentral:sRNA from 1 species
AUGCAUCACCUGUACGCUACGGUUCCUGCGCGCUGUCCGCGCCCACCCGACAACGACUCGCGACGUUUUGUUAGCU